UACGGAGGGCGCGAGCGUUAAUCGGAAUGACUGGGCGUAAAGGGCACGCAGGCGGUCUGCUAAGCCAGAUGUGAAAGCCCCGGGCUCAACCUGGGAACUGCAUUUGGUACUGGCAGGCUGGAGGCUUGGAGAGGGGGGUAGAAUUUCCGGUGUAGCGGUGAAAUGCGUAGAGAUCGGAAGGAAUACCAGUGGCGAAGGCGGCCCCCUGGCCAAAGACUGACGCUCAGGUGCGAAAGCGUGGGGAGCAAACAGG
rnacentral:misc_RNA from 1 species